CAGCUGUCUGCAAUGCUUAUUGGUGAAAGGAAAAUGGUAACUGGCCAGUCGACAGACUCAAUUUGGAAUCUGUAGGACUGGGGCUGCCACUGGAGGAGGCCAGACAGAGAGGAACACUGCAGAGCUCAUUGGCGCAUAUUUUUCAGGAGAGCUGGGGAUGCCAGCAGUGUUGUGCCUGCCUCUCUGGGUAGCUUGCACUUCGCUGUGGAAGAAUCAUGUCUGGGAGACUCAGCCAUGAUGUCUGUGUCACGUUAAGGAAGAAGAGUCUGAGGGGAGGUUUCUAUGGUCACUUGAACCAUCAUAUUUAUUUAUUUAUUUUUAAUAGAGAUGGGACACUCACACAGUGAUUUUUGUGUGUUUAGGAAUAGCACUAAAAACCUGUGCAGGGUGAAGAUAGGGAACCGAGGACCAAGUACCUGUUUAAUGGUGACUUUCUGCUCAAUAAUAAUUGCACAAUAAAGUCAUAAAUUUUUCUUCUCUGUG